AAUAUUUUUGACGUGUUUUUGAUUAAGUUUGGAAAAAAGACUUGAUAUUGAUCAAGUGAUUUGAUUAACUGAUUUAAAUAUGUUUUUGGUUUAGAAAUGGUUGCAUUUUAUUCUUGAUUUUAUUUUGAAAAUGGAUUCGAUUGAAAUUGUGCUUAAUUGUAGGAAAUGAAUUAGUAGUUUACUUGUGAAAGAAAAAGGUUUUAAUUGAUUUUUUAAAAUAAUUAUUAAUCAAUCUAAAAUGCUAAAAUUAAAGGAAAGAUAAAAAAA
rnacentral:lncRNA from 1 species